rnacentral:rRNA from 1 species
UUCCUACGGGGCGCAGCAGUGGGGAAUAUUGCACAAUGGGGGAAACCCUGAUGCAGCAACGCCGCGUGAGUGAAGAAGUAUUUCGGUAUAUAAAGCUCUAUCAGCAGGGAAGAAGAUGACGGUACCUGAGUAAGAAGCCCCGGCUAACUACGUGCCAGCAGCCGCGGUAAUACGUAGGGGGCAAGCGUUAUCCGGAUUUACUGGGUUUAAAGGGUGCGUAGGCGGGCUGUUAAGUCAGCGGUAAAAGCCCGGGGCUCAACCCCGGCGAGCCGUUGAAACUGGCUGUCUUGAGAUGUCGAGAGGUA